CGUCAGCGAAGCCAACGUGAAGGCUGCAUGUGCUUCGUGUCUGCCAAAACGGUUAAAAACAAGUUAAAGGUUUAAAAAACCAAAGUUUACCAUAUCCUAUAGCACCUGGUUGAUGAGGGAACAAGCUCUAUCAAGAUGACUGGGGAAGAGGGGCGGAAUAAGGUGCGUGAAACAGCUGCUCAGCGAGAGAGACCGGGUCAAAGGAAGGUGAUGGAUGGAAGUACUUGUGCAGCUUCAUAGAGACUUGGCGUCUUUCUGGAACGCGGCGCGCUUCAACAGAUGGUUUGGAAGCCCGUCUGUGGCGUUCCUGACUUUGACAUCAAAGUCUCAUCUGACGAUCAGGAAAGCUGUGACAGUUAUUGGCACACCUGAUGGCGGACCUGCCAUCAGUUGGACCGCGUUCAGGGCGGCGGACAGUUGGAUGGGGAAAGCUGCUAAAUGAUGCAGCAAAUCUCGGAAUGUACUUGCGGCAGCCGUGAAUGCAAAGGAACCGAGAACUUUCAAACUUGACAGUAAUCAGCUCAAAUCCUAAAAUACGCGCCUUCCUUUUGUCUGUCAGAGUAAAGACCAAUUAGACUAAUGGUUGAAGAAGAUGUCGCUUAGAUGCAGCUGAUAGAUCUUGAUUGUGAGACCUCUUUAUUUUCAUUUUUGUCGUCUCUGACUGCACUGUUGUGCUGCAUUUCAUAACCACUGUGUCACUGCUCUGAGACAUGGUGAUACUCACAUAAAGACUAAGCAACAAAGGCAUCUUAAAGAGUCUUGUAAAGGUACAGGAGUUAUUGUGAGCUGUUGAUCUUUUUUCAAUAGAUUUGCCGUGAUUAUGCAAACCAUAACCAUCAUCUUAAAACAAAUAUUUUCUCCUAAUAAAACACAUUGUUUCCCUAUAAACUGGACAAAAGACGCAUCAAUGUGAGCAGUCGUGUACAAGCUGUUCUUUUGGAUCUAUAGAUACACCCUUAUGUACAAAGGCUCUGCAUUUUACUGUACUGUGCCACACAGAGCACACAUUUUUCUCAGGAAGUGCAAUGCGGCAGCACCCUAAUGACACAAGCCACUUCAGACCCCCAUCCUGCUGAGACGCCUCCAGCUCGCAGAGCGCCAGCACCACCAAGUGGACAGGCAGGCUACUGCAGGGCCGGAGACACAGCGGCUGCCUGAUGAAGUGUGACAGGGUCAUUUAAUCUCCUGUAAAAACACAAACGGGGACUCGCGCACACUCAUUUGAUUUGUGACAUUUAUAAACAGCCGUUCUGAUGAGAUUUAAAGCAGCCGAGGAUGUAGAGCCAGAGGGAGAAACUCGGUUUAGAAAGAUUGCAUCCUGACACGCGAUACCAUGUUAGCCACUCACCAAUUUGCCUUUUGUUUGGUCAUUUUUUCAAUUCAUCUUUAACUUCCGAGAUUCAUUAUCUUUAAUGGGUUUUCUUAAAAAACAUAUUCACACCCACUGUUUACCUCAUAGGGCAUUUGGGUCAAUUAGACAACAAUGUUAUGCUGUGUUGACCCAAAUCUCCUUUGAUGUCAAUGAUAAUGAGGCAUUUGUGUUAAACUGACCCCAUAAAUGCUUUUCUUCACUUCAAGUACCUUUCAAUAAUGAAAUAAGCUGCACGAAAGAAAAAAAACAUAGGAUUUAGAUUAUAUUCAAUGAAAAUGACUCAAAAAAAAAGGUUAGAUUGAAUUAGUUUUGCAGAGUUCUUUGCCUCAGUUGACAUGUGGGUCAAUUUGACCCAGACUCCACACAUGAGUGACCAAAUCUUUGUUCAGUGUUUUUGGUCAAAUUCCUCCAAACAUCCUGUGGGAAAACUUGUUUGUGUUGCUUUUGGGUCAAAUUGACCCCCCCCCAUCCUUCUGGACCCCCAUGUGUUUAUGAAACCAGUGCAAAAGAAAAUAAAAAAAAACCUGACACACUAGAAUCUGAGCUAAUCUUUAGAAAGACAUAAUAACUAAAAAGAGUAUGAUUUCAAAACAACUUUGCAGAACUAUUUCUCAUAUAGGAUCCAUGGGUCAAUUUGGCCCGACCUUUUCCCCCUUCUUUUUGCAACUUUGAGAUUUUUGGCUCUUUUAUGUUGUUUACCUCAAGGUUAAUUUUUUUCAUGUUCAUGUUUAUUGGUUUAGUUUGCUAUUUGUACAGUCAACACAAUAUAAACAUCCAAUAAAAAAGUAAUAGGUAGAAGCUAAUGAAGCUAUUCGAUGCCUUGAAAACUAAGCAAUGACCAUCCUGAUCAGCGUGACAAAGAAAUAGAUAGAAUCAAAUAAACACUUUGUACAAACAGAUAAAAGUAAAUAAAUCUUACAUAAGUGUAUUGUAAUCAUUUACACAAUUACGUUUUAUUUUAUUUUUUUUAAUUGCAAAAGUUUCCUAAACAACAGACAAUUUACAUGUUAAGUUGCUUGAAAUUAAACUAAUGCUAUGUUUGAGUUUUCUUAAUUUUUAAAUUUUUUCCUUGGGGAUCUGAAUAAAAA